rnacentral:lncRNA from 1 species
AAAAAGAUUCACAUAUUAAAAAGCUAUUCAAGUGAAAUAAAUAAAAUUGUGAAUCAAAACUUAUGAUUUUUAAGACACAGGUCAUGAAAAAAAUGCAGCUGACUAUGACUACAAAUGAAACAAUUAUCAUAAUCCCUUUUUUCAAUUAGAAGUCCAUAGGUAAAAGGCCAGUGGGGUAUGAAAGUUGAUACAGUGUAAAUUACAAUGAGACAGC